AACACUACCAGUAGUAUAUAUCAUAACAAAAAAAUGAUUGAUAUGCCAGCAAUACCCUGGCAACCUUCAACCUGCCAAACCGUUAGUUCUGAUCUCUUUUGUCUGUCUGGGGGGACCUUCAACUUGAGUUAUCGUUGUGUUUUUAGUUCGAUUAACAGCCAAACGAAACACAACACAACACCAUGCAAGACACACCGCUAGGUCAGUCUUCGAGUCAAGGCUUAUGACAAAGCGUAUAAGGAAUAACAGCAGAGUGGGCGGCACCAUAUGUGAAAUUGAUAUUUUCCGAAUGUAAACUCAGCCACAUAUUGCCAGAAAUAUUUUCGGUUGAGAGUGAAGCCAUCAGUUAAAUCUAAUGUGUAUUGUUAGAGGAUCUCAUGGCGUGAAUAUGAUUGAAAAUGUUGGAUCAAUUUAGUGAAAUUUCAGUUUCACUUUUGUAUAGAAGAAGGUAGAUAGAAUGAAAAUGAAAUUGAGAACAGUCUCUUAAUAGAUUGCCAGCAAAUGAGACUAAAUAAACUUAUAAAACAAGUAAGAAAACUAAAAUCGUGUGUGAGAUACCGGCUAACAAUGUUCUAUAAAACCAUAUAACAAAAAUGUACCGAAAGCUUUUUUUUUGGUAUAUCUAUACGUUUAAAAUAAUCAGAUUUUUCUUAAUUCUUAAGAUCAAGAUCAAGUUCAGCAACAAGUACAAAUCGAUUAAAAUUUUAAACUCGGCAAUAAAUUAAUGAUUGUUAGAUCUUUAAAAAAAAACAAGUGUAAAAACGUAGUUAAUUGGUAAAGCAGCCACACUUGCCUUGUGGAUAAAUAUUUAUAUUUGAAAACCAUAAUGCGCUAUUUGAAAACAAUCAUUAAAAUGUUGAACUAAAUUUAGAGCACACGUUUUUGUGAAUUAAAUAACAAAGAGCCGAGUGAAAUAUAAAUACGUGAAACACGUCAAAAUAAUGGAAAACCCAUAAAAAAUACUUAUAUACUGCUGGACAGUAAUGGCCACUGACUACGUAGGCUCUCAUUCAUGAUCCCAAUAACACCAGAUCUAAAUUUGGAACUGGGGUGGUGGCGUAUACGUAAUACAUAGUACGUAUACGAUACGUAUUGCGUAUACGUAUGUGUAUUAAAUGGAUGCUUAAACUAAAUUAAACGCUUUGUGAAAAUACGCAAGCAAGCAGCUUCAUAAAACAACGAGAACAAUUAUCUUCGACGUCUGCGGUGCGAAAUGUUCAUAAUAAUCAUAAGACGAGUAGAGGUAGUACGGUACGUUGCUCAUCGCCUUCAAUUUGCGUAAUCAAUGUGAAUUUAUUUGCGUAUAAAAACAAUAAAAACUAAUACAAGAAGCCGAUGCGAGGCGAGUCGAAUGGAAUCGAAUCGAAUCAAGGCGAAAUGAGCGCCUGAGCGAAAGCAGAUUAAAGCGCUCAGAAAUGCAUAAAAAAUGAGGUAAUAAAUAUUUGAAAUCAAAUACAAAAAAUUCGAUUCAAAUUCUCACAAUAAAUGCGCGAAAUUAAAUGUUAAUUUAAACAGUUGCGGUAAUUAUCAGCGCCAUUAAAAAGUAUUCUCAAAAGAAGUCUUAGUCGAAAGUCAAAUAGUUAUUGCAAUCGCAUAAAAGAACUGAUCUGAAUGGGCAUGGCAAUUAUAUAUUUUAACUGCCAGCAGUGCUGAAUUUUGCUCUCAUCAGAUUGAACACAUUUUGAUUGCAGAACGUGCGAAAAAUACUUUGGAUAACUUUUAGUACAGUUUUGCACCCUCGAGAAUUCUGGGUGUAUUCUGUCGUUACCUAAUCAAAAAGUGAACUGACCAAUUUGCAGUUGAAGAUGCUUUUGCUCAGCUGUUUUUCCGGUGCAAAGUCAUUCCGAGGGAGAAUGUUUCAAUCAGCAACUGCUACCCCACGGCGUAUGAGUAAUCCCUCCUUUUCCGCCCUAAUACUUCACCAUACAACCGAUGAGUAAUCUUGCAUUAAUUUCAAACAAUUGCCAGACAAGAAUAUCACACACACACGCACACACACUCAAACAACCAUUCCCCAUUGCUAUUGAGUACGAUAAAAUCCAGAAAUAUUCGUAAAAAGUAAAUAAUCUCAAACGGAUACCCGAUUCAUAUGUAUUCACGGCAUGCCCAGGUACGCAAUUAAUGCCGCUGACUCACGCAUUCAUUAGAAGGGGCAAAUCACUGUAAAGAAGAAGCCACCUGAAAGACCAAACACGCAUUUUACUAUAACCAAAUAUGUAAAUUUCGUUGCAAGUUGAAAAAAUUUAAGAGAUAUGAAAAAAUACCUCAAACUGUUCUACAUUCAGUUUUUGCGGAUUUUUGUUCGAAAUUCUUGAUAAAUAUUUGAAGUUCAUGUUUGUUUAAAAAUUCAUUGAUUAGCUGAACCGAAUGCAGCAACGCAACGCAACUCAGCCAAAGCCAACGAAGCCACCCACAACCCAGAGAAAAAACAAAAGCAAUAGCAAAACCACAACAAAACAUGGCCCAAUCGAUGGUCGUUGAUGCCUUUACGACUCUAUUGUGAAAUGUGCAGCAGGUGAUAAAAUGUUGCCGGUAAUUUUUCCGGAAAUUUCGCUGGAAUUGUUUUCCGAAUCCGAAUUUUGAUAAACAUUUCUGCGGCACCCUUUGGUUCAGUUUAGUCUGUUGCCAUCCAAAUAAGAAAUAUGUUUUUGUUUGUACACCUUCGAGACGCGUGACUUCUCGAUGAUGAAUCUUGGCAAAAACAUCGUUGAACAACAAAGCAAUAAAAAGAGCAAUUAAUGUAUUAAUUGAUAACACAAUUUUAAUCGGGGAAGCACAAAUAAAUUGGUAUUUAUUUGGAAUGAUUCAAAACAUUGUUUGUAGUUUGUUUCUUGAUUUUAGUAAAUAUAUUUUUUAAUAUACGAUGAAUUAUUUCCGACAGUUCUACGAAUCAAAAAUUAAAUUUCAAAAAUAUAUUUUCAAUUUGUUGUUCAUCAAUUAAACUUUUGCUCAAACAAUGUUUUAAUUGAAUUACGACGUGUGUUAAACAAUAACAAUCGUCAACGACUCUUGCCAGAAAUGUAUUAGGUACAAUGUGAUCUAAAACGUACUAAAUCAUCGCAAAUUGCCCAAAUUAUCAUCACAUCAAAAUCGAAUAGACAAAUUGUGAAUGAGUACAUUAAAAUGUAAAGACAUUUGCCGUUCUACUUUUGAGCCUCAUCCUGCUCACUGGCGAGACAACUUGACAGCAGCAGCACAUUGCGGAAAUCUUUGACAAUGUAGACAGACGAUCGACCAGGCCAAAGCGCACAUCACUUCAACAGCUAAUAUAUUAAAUUGACAAAUUUAUACUCAGCGAACAGAAGAGAUCUUGACUGCAAGAUGAGCGCAAAGACCUUGCGAAACCCAAACAAUUGAACAACUGAAAAACCAAAACAACAAGUGAAGAAAUGAACAACAACAGAACAGAACAGAACAGAUCAGAAUAACAACAGAACAGAGAGCAACACAAUCCUUUUACUGCUCGUGGCUCAAUGAUUGAUAGAUUUGUGGGAGAUAAAUAUUUACGCACAGUUCGGGGAAAUACAAUUCAUUUUCGGGCAUAAAAGUGUCCAAGAGCACGCAACAACAAUAAGAUCUGACUAAUGAAAGGUUGCUCGUUGGCCCUUGAAAUGAAAUCUUUUUGGCGCUUUUAGCAUAAAUGGAUUUUAAAAUAAUAGAAACCAAUCAAAUUUCAAGCGGCAACACAUGUCGCAGUUGUUUUUUGCCUUCUUGUUGUUUUCUUGGAAGACGAUCGAGAAGAAGCAGCAGAAGAAGCGGCAAUCGUGUGUCGUCGACGUGUCUGCAAAAUAUAAUUCAUAGUUCAAUUUUAUUUUUGGGAUCAACUCGGCUUUUUUCUUGCUUUAUUUAUUUUCGUUUUUUGCUUUUUUUUUCAUUCGUAUUUUCUUUUUAUUUGUGGCGUGUUAAGUGCGGUCGUCUUUAUAAAUAAAGAAGAAAUGAAACAAAAUAAAAUAAAGCACAGAAGACAAAAUCAUUCAACGAGAAAUUAAUGAUCGUAUGGAAAAUUUGAGCGUCUCGCGAUCUGUGUAAUCUUUGAGCCACAAAUCCAAAAAAAAAAUCUGAAUUGCAAACAGAAAAAAGCGGGCGAAAGAAAUUUAUAAUAAAAUUGAAGAAAAUUUUGCUUUUUAUUUCAACAAAAUUGAGAAAAUGUAUAAGCAAAUUUUAUAGAAAUUAUUAUUUGGCAAUUUGCCCAAAAUUUGGCCACACCAAAUUGGCUGCCCCAAACAGAGGCGUCUGUCUAUGCUGAUGGGGGAUCAAGAGAGGCGAAGAGAGAGGGAUUCAGAGGGGAGCUAUGGCACAUUUGCAUGCUUGUCUCGUCGGUGCUUUUUUUUGUUUUUGCCAAACACUAAAUGAGCAUAUUAAAAUUGCGUUAUAAACAUUUUCUGUGCGUCUUGAGGUUUUCUCUCUCUAAAUGCUGCCGCUGAUGAUGUUGUUGUUGUUGUUGUUGGUCUAAUUAUUAAUAAAAAUGACCUAAAAAUGCAUUUUGCAUGUGACAAAAAUAGACAAAAUCAAAAGCAGAACGAUCAAACACCCACUCGAUAGUACCCUGUAAUUAAAUCAGAAAGAAAUGAUUCGCUCAUUAGAACUAACCCAAUUUGUUCUUGUUUAGAACUAGGGUGUUUAAUAGUCGAUUCGACUUUAUUUCGUACAGUUUUCGACAUUUGAUUUAUGGUGUUUUCACUGUUUUAGAGCUGAUGUGUAAAUUGCAGUGCGGGGCGCGAUGUAACAUCUUGUCAAGCCCAUUGAAAUUGUGUGAGCCGUGCGGUCAACUGGCAUAUUACACGAUAGUUUCGUUUCAUUGCAUGAUGAUGAUAAACAUAUGUUUCCACAUGUCAUAAAUCCCACAAAUUAUGAACCGAAUGACAUCGAUGUUUCAUGUGUAAUUCUAAAUUAACCCCACAUUUUUAGAUCACUAUGUCGUUUUGACACAACAUUUUCGGCCUUAAACUAGGUCCAAUUAUUGUAGGAGGAAACUAACGAAAAAAAAAUAGAAAAUACGGAAAUUAUUUUAAUUACAAGGAUAACCUAAUUUCUUGUUCAAAAAUUUAAAAUCCUUUUAAUGUCAUGUAUUCAAGCUAUUCCUAUUUCUUUUUCACUAUUAAAAAAUGUACUACGACAGCUAAUGUAAUUUUUUUA